UAACGAACCCGUUUACAUCGAAUUAUUCUAUAUAUCGAACAAUUUCUGGUCACGGUAUAGUUACAAUGAGUAUAUAUAGCAAAAAUUACGCUUACAUCGAACAAAUAUUGCAGUGACUCCCGAUAUAUCGAACGUGAAGCGGCGGAAAAGUGCCCCCAGAAGUUGACUUUCCCUAGCGGUAGCGGGGAAACCCGGCGGCGCGGCUCCAUCCAACCGCUCUCCCUACCGUGACCGCGCUGGCUCGGGCUGUUCGGGCGAGCCGUCGACACUCCCCCUGUCGCGCAUAGUGAAGUCUAUUAUCCUCCCUCUUUCUCUAUCAUCUUUCACUUCCCACUCCCUCUCCCCUGACGACGCUUCGCCGUGCUCCCUCACGGGUUGCAGAAUCAAGCGUCCUUCCUUUCUUUAGAUCACUAUCUAUCGACACUCCCCAGCAAAAAAUGAUCCUGGCCCGCCUACAGCGCUUGCUCAGACAGCCAAUCAGAGGCUCUCGUGCGCUCUUCGUGCAAGAUGGCGAAAGUGCGAGUUGCCUGGCGGCUUCUCUGGUUUAUCGUGUUUGCGCCUUGUGGGCCUUCUCCCGCAGUGUUGCCGUGAUGAAGCGGCAGAAUUCGCCUUUCGUCGUGAAGAUCGAAAUCAUACAUCGCGUCGAACGCGAUGUCCCCGCAGCGUGCAAGAUUCCGCGGAGCACUCUCAGCACGAUUAGGGCUAAAGUGGCCAGACUCGCAACCCGGUGCCCAUGGCGCCCGACGCGUACGCACGGCCGGGUACGAGGCGUUCUUCAUACGAGCCGGUUUCCGCGUGCUCGGUGACGACUGUAAAUUCUGAUGAAUGUGACGAAGCCGUUGCCGGUGUUGCCGAAGUUUGGAGCGAGCUGUCAAAAUUUCCGGGACAUUCGAAUCAACGGUGGACGAGUUUGUGAGUGCAGAUGAUAGUGUCGCGACGACGGUAGAUCCCGAAACGAAGACUACAUCGCCGACAUCGUACCGAGCACAAAUGAAAGUAGGCACGUUGAGGAAAGAAACUACGGUCCUUUGCCCACAUCCUCCGAAGUGAUUGGUGCACUCGCAUUAGUCCGGUGCUUCUGCGCGAAUGCGGAAGGUUGCGGCCUCAGCUGCUCGGACUCCUUAGACAACGUGGGGAAGUACGUGCGUCGCAGGCAGCGAAAUUGCCCAAGCAGAAGAAAAUGCAGGACUAAUUUAUGCGAAACUAAGCUAGUUUCGUCAAUAAAGUGAUCUUAUAAAUGGUAUGUGCUUUUAUGACAUCCAAUUAUUUAGCAGGCUUAUAUCGAAUUAUGCUCUAUAUCGAACUGAUAGGCGUUUUUUUGCGAGUUCGAUAUAGCCGGAUUUGACUGUAUUGCUUUUCAAGCUAUUAAGCACAAUAUGAGCUGUCAAAAAGGAAACCAUAUAUAAUGGUGGAAUCUUAGUCUGGGAAAGUAAUGUGUAUUAGAUUAGCAUAAAAGACAAAUAUGCAAAUCUGGUUCUUAUGUUCUGGUACCUAUACCACGAAGCAAACAAAUUGUGUAGGCUAAGCAGACAAGACAAUCAGGAACAUACUAUAAUGGGUAUUACUCCAUUGAUUUAACCAUCUGUUUCAGGUAAGUUAGCACAUGAAACUUAACUAUAAAUACUUAGUUUAAACAUACCACUUAAGAUGGAGUACUUCGUUUUGUCCAAUGCUGGCCUUGUGCCAGUUUUUGUCCGGUUCGACACUGCGCCGGUCACACUGUGGCCAGCCUGCCGUGGAAAAAAUGGCCACAACAGCUUCACGGACAAAUCGGCUGUCCGUCUUCGCAGCCAUGAAGCGGUUAUAGACAGCUUCCGUAAUGUACACGUCCUUCACCAAAUGCACCUGGAACAAGUUGCAUGUUAAAUGUUUUACUUGUCAUAUUAUGCAGCAAAAAGUACUCAAAAAGACUGGUCAUUAGGAAAUUAGUGUGACAAAGUUAUCGCAGCAUGACACAGGAUCUAGUGUUAUUCCAUGUUUUCAAACAAGCACAAAGCUGCCACAUUAACCUAUCAAAGAAGUGUGUGUGAAAACAGAAAUACUUACUCGUCCUUCAGCACUUUCAUAAAGAGAAGCUGUCGACUUUCCAGAAUUUGGCUCGUGAUUUUCAUUUAAGUUGCUGGAUGAUAUUUCUGAGCUGCCCUUCACUGGUCCUUCAGGACUCUGAAGGGCUCUUGUGCUGCUUUUGGUGUGUCUGGGCUCCCGGAGGGCUGCAGUGCCUUUUUUAUGCUCCUUUCUGAGCUUGUGGGCGGAACUCUGUCACCGUGCGAGCUCUUUUCACAACAGUGUGUUUCAGGAAUACAGGUCACCGAGAAAUGCCAAAUGUACAAUGCACAAAUAUAAAUGACGGAACAUUUUCCCACUGCAAGCAUCAUCUAAAGACAAUGACACAGAAUAUCAGGCAUGCACAGGCUCGUCUACUUUCAUGGUGAAAAGGCAAGCAUGUGGUCACGCUUCGUGGAGUGUUGGUGCAGUCGCACAUGGAACCAAACCUGCAUAUAUAUGCAGUCAUGCCCAACGUUAUUAGACUAGCUUCAGUUGUAAAACUCUCCACCCGCAUGCUUGCAGCCGCCAUGGUCUUCGAGAUCCACCGCGGCGCACAGAGAAACGCACACGGGGGUAAAUCUCGGAGGCCAUGCAGCCACUGUCGCCACUUCUGUGACAGCCGCCAGAUGGCAGCGCGGUUCCAUCGAGCUCCACUGCAGACUCCUCGCCGCAUCCUUGAGCUCGUGCAGACAGGUAGUUUGCGCGUGUUUCACGAUCGUGGCAUUCUCCCUUGUCCGAAUUAGUGAUACGAAAUAGCGUUAUCCUCAUACAGCAAUAAGAUUUAUCGUGCUCGUUAGUUCAUACUGAAAGAAGAGUGAACUGCACGAAAGAAAGACACGCAUACAGCGAAGCGCAGAAGCUGUGUUUCUAAAUGUCGUAUGUUUCUUCCUGUCAUCUGAAUGUUUCGUGCGGUUUACUUCUCACCUAGAGCAUCUUGGCACGUUUCCUCACCGCUUUUACUUGCUUAAUUAACACUUUGGUCUCGCCAGCUGGCUUAUAACUGCCUCAUACCAAAUUUAUUAUCCACAAAAAUAAUAGCACAGCUUCUUUAUGAACCUAUAUUUAAUUUUUUUAAUGAGAACUUUAUUAAAGAAAAUGAAGGAAAAAAAUCUGUAUGACCCACUUAUAUAUAGCUAAGACCGAAACUGUUACAAGGGACAUAACCUAGGCAAAUGAUUUGCGCCCACAUGGAUACCAACUCCAGCUACAGCAGCUUGCCACGUUUCCUCGCUGCCUUUACUUCAAGACCGUCAACUCUGCCUAUUGGAAUGGCUAGGUCAUCCAAUGUGCGGAUGCUAAUGUUGUUGGACGUCACGACCAUAUGGCCGAGAGCACUUGCCGUGGCUCUAUAUAUGGCUUGCAUUGACGUCACGGCUAGGGACCCUGGGAUACUAUUCCGCCAUGCUGGUGCAGUCACAGAGGGCGCGGUGCAGUUGAUGCUAUUCGUGUGUGCGGUAGUUUGUCGGUGCGUCGAAAUGGCUAUCUGCGUAGUUGUCGGAUGCUCCAACUGCACUUGUUGGGCAAAAUCAACAAAUACAAACUUUUUCGUCUUCCAAACAUCAUCAGACAUCAAGGUGACCGUACCAAAGUUAUCCGUGAAGCGACGGGGUCUGUGGCUGGCUCGAAUAAAACACGCCGACCUCAACACUGAAAGGACCAGCAUACGUGUUUGUGGCGCCCGCUUCGUAAACGAUAAGCCCGUUGCAUAUGCACAAUGCUACUUUAGCUGCAGGAUGUACAAGCACAGCGGAACGGCUUAUUUUUUAACGAAAAUUUUUCUAGUUCUUGUAGGCAGACCAUCAAAACUGUGGCAGGAGGUGGACCCGGAUUGGGCCCCUAUGCUUUUGCUCGGCUACAGCGCAAAACAUGGAGAUCCCAGAUGCCACGCUCGCACAGCAUGCAGCCGAGGCAGCGGAAACUGUGGAGGCGACGAACCCGGACGUCGUUACUGCUUCUCAGUUGCCCUCACCGCGUACAGACGAGGAAGACGGUGAAAAAGGUUUACCAUGCCGUUUACGAUGCCGUGAACAUACGUUUGAGAGUCGAGAGACAUCUUAGCGUUCUGCAUCAUGGACCAGAUGCGAAGCAUUAGCGACGGAGGGACGUCGCAACGUAAAAAGCACAGGAAACGUUAUUUAGAGCCAGGGGAGACCUACUCUUUGCCACGGAUAUCUAUGCGGUAACAGGAGAAGGUCUGGGACACCCAGUCAUGUUCGCAGACACCUAGGCAGCUUAGAAGCUCCGGCGCUGGAAGUGCAAAUGCCGUCGUGUGUGAGAUUGAUGAUGACGAUGACUUCGACGCCAGUGACCAAAACCUUGAUCAUGCGGAAGGCGACGAGGGAGACGGCAACAAACAGUGUGACAGUGAAUCCAGCUGCCCUGAAUAAUUCAGUGGUGCAGAGGAGUGUGAAGGUGAUGCAGAUGAAUUUUGUUGCCUGUUCUCAAGUGCACGCCUUCCGAACUCAGACAUAAGUGUCAGAGAUGCCAUGCUGACGCUAAUGGCGUAUACUGCGUCAGUAGGCUUAAACUGGACGGAUACGGAGAAGCUUGUGAGUGUUAUAAACAUUUUUCUUGGCAUGCCUGUCUUUCCUACUUUGAGCUACAUGCUUAGAAAAUCGUUGAGGCAGUGGAUGGGCAGCCUUGUCAAACGACACUACUUUUGUGAGGCAUAGGAAGCUGUGAUGCCGAAUCCUCGUCAAAAAGAUUUUUAUGCCUGCACUGCAACACCGCCGACUUGGGGCAAAAUUUUUUUGUUACAUUGGACCUUAAGAAGCAAAUUGAAAUCAUGCUUAUCGACAAGUCAGUGUCAAAGUGCUUAAUGGAAUCCUUGAAGAAAAGGGAACUUCAAGCGGAUGAUGGCACUGUGAAAGACAUCUAGCUGUGAUGGGAGGCUUUACAAAAAACAGAUGAAAAACUCUUCAUGGUGUGACAUAUCCCUGACAUUCAACACAGAUGGUGCGAAAGUUUUCGAAUGCAACAAAGCUUCAAUAUGGCCAAAUAAGUGUGUGGUGAAUAAAGUGCCAUUAUCAUUGUGGUGGAGUGAUGUGCUACUACGUGGACUGAAUUUUGGAAAGGGCCACCCAAGAAUGAGUCCAUUCAUUGGAAGUUUUCUUAAAAGCCUUAAAGAACUGAACUCUGUCAAGUGGAAGUGUGAUGAACAAGCGCUGUCCUCGAAGGUGUACAUCAUGUGUUGUGUUGAUGCCCCAGCACGCGGAGCUGUGCUCAAUAUGAAGCAAUACAACGGCUACUAUGGGUGCAGCUUCUGCCUUCACAAAGGUGUCGAUACUUUCAAUUACAAGCUAGUUUAUGGCCGUUUAAGCACCUCUCUGUUCCCAUAUAUGUGUAUAUAUAACAAAGCUUGAGUUAAAUUAAUCAAAAUUGCAAAGGCACUUCAGUACAUACUUUAUUAUGUAGCAUCUCUUGAAUGUCAUCUAUGAUAGCAGUUACGGCAGUGGAAUUUUACUACUUAGUGGACAAUGCAAAUCACACAAGGAAAAUGGAAGGGGCAUUUUUUUUAGUUAUUCAUGCCACCUGCAUGCUAAAUAAAACAGGUUUUUCAGAUAUUGUUUUGUCAACCCACACAGAGCCAUUUUAAGAAGUGUAAAAGUAAGAAUGUGGUGUGAUUUAUGUUCCCAGGGUCUCCGAGACACCCAGUGCCAGAGGGAGCAAGCCACCCAAAUCUGAGGACCAACACAAGUGUCAGGGAAGACAUGCGGAUAUCUCUGCAGUCUGGAGAUUCGUCCCACGGCAUAAAGGGAGCUUCAGCACUUGCAUACAUACCCAACUUUAACUUAGUCGGGGCUGUUUGUCCAGACUACUGCAUUGUGUGCUAGAAGGAGUUGCAAGGCAGCUGGCCGACAUAUGGUUUAGGUCGCAGCAGAUUCACCAUCAUAUAUUGGAAAGCCAGCUCAAAUAAAGAGUAGACCAACGACUGCUCAGUAUUAAGCUACCACAGUGGUUCACCCGACCCCCACGCACUGUGCAGGAAAGAGCGAUGUAGAAGGCAAGCGAAUGGAAAUGAUAGCAUAUAUCAGUGGGAUUUGCCGGCGAGCCCUGUUGAUGACAGCAGCCAGGCAGCCACAGGGAGCAGCCACAGCUGAGGCGUCAGCACAGGGACCAGUUGACCCGCAGCUGGCUUCUCCAUUACCGGCUGCACCAGUCAGAGGCUACACCGCGAGGCUCAACUUGUGUCCUACGCAGAACGUUUGCAACCAAGAGGGCAGCUCUUGAAGAAGAGCUUAGUGCCCGCCUUCUAGGUGUUGAAGAAGCCGAUGCACAUACUGCAGAUGAAGCUUAUGCGAGCUGAAUAUGCGCUUCAUAUGAAGCAAUCAAAACAACUUGAGUGUGCGAGCAGGAAAUCCAAGCUCGAGCUUCUCCAGCUGAAAAUAGCUGCUGUGAAAAAAGCCAGUGAGUAAAAUGGGACAAAAUCUUUUAUUUUGAAUAUGCAUUCGGUUUUGCUUUGCAACAUUUUAGGAAAAAAUAUUGCUGAAUAAUACGUGCUCGGGUUCUGAAGCCACUCGCUGAGUCAACGGGCUGUGGUCCUUGAGUUUGUGAAGCUGGGGAGGGUUGCUGAAUGUUGCAUGCGUCAGGAGCCAACGCUUGGACGGUUCCGACCAAAGUUGUGCAGAGCUGCACGUGCCGUGUUGACAAUGACAGACGUAUUCGUUUCUAUUUGUAGUUUCAUAUCAAGGCAUGGGAAUCUUCUCUUCCAGAUGCCGAAAGCCCUUUCGACGGUGUUCCGCGUCCGUAUUUGGGACUUAUACCUAAAUAAAGAGAUGUUGCAUA